UAGAGUUUGAUCCUGGCUCAGAUUGAACGCUGGCGGCAGGCUUAACACAUGCAAGUCGAGCGGUAGCAGGGAGAAAGCUUGCUUUCUCCGCUGACGAGCGGCGGACGGGUGAGUAAUGUCUGGGGAUCUGCCUGAUGGAGGGGGAUAACUACUGGAAACGGUAGCUAAUACCGCAUAACGUCGCAAGACCAAAGUGGGGGACCUUCGGGCCUCAUGCCAUCAGAUGAACCCAGAUGGGAUUAGCUAGUAGGUGGGGUAAUGGCUCACCUAGGCGACGAUCCCUAGCUGGUCUGAGAGGAUGACCAGCCACACUGGAACUGAGACACGGUCCAGACUCCUACGGGAGGCAGCAGUGGGGAAUAUUGCACAAUGGGCGCAAGCCUGAUGCAGCCAUGCCGCGUGUAUGAAGAAGGCCUUCGGGUUGUAAAGUACUUUCAGUAGGGAGGAAGGUGUGAGCGUUAAUAGCGUUCACAAUUGACGUUACCUACAGAAGAAGCACCGGCUAACUCCGUGCCAGCAGCCGCGGUAAUACGGAGGGUGCAAGCGUUAAUCGGAAUUACUGGGCGUAAAGCGCACGCAGGCGGUUUGUUAAUUUGGAUGUGAAAUCCCCGGGCUUAACCUGGGAACUGCAUCCAAGACUGGCAAGCUAGAGUCUCGUAGAGGGAGGUAGAAUUCCAGGUGUAGCGGUGAAAUGCGUAGAGAUCUGGAGGAAUACCGGUGGCGAAGGCGGCCUCCUGGACGAAGACUGACGCUCAGGUGCGAAAGCGUGGGGAGCAACCAGGAUAAGAUCCCCUGGUAGUCCACGC
rnacentral:rRNA from 1 species